CCCUAUGUAAAUGAAGUAGUGGCCUGUGAUCAGUCUGAUUGGUUGCAUAAGGUGACCAAUCAGAGGUUGAAGUAAAGUUACAAGGUUACACAUGAAGACUUGACCUGUGAUCAGUAUAAUUGGUUUCACGAGGGAACCAAUCAAAGAUACUUUCAUUUUUCAUCUUCAAUGCAGAAAAGGGGUGGGGGAUGUUGCAAAGGGAGUAGUCCCUGAUCCUUUUGUUACUUGGGUGUAGAGAAGUGGGGUUUUCCUUUUGAUUCAGUUCUAGGAAGUCAGCGUGAAUCAAUCUUAGGUUCCCUGUCUCCUGACCAUAUUCUCCUGCAUCAAAACUGCCAGGACUGAAAGAAGAAAUAGGCAAAUCCUCAGUUAUAGUCAAACAUGUCAACACACCUCUCUCAGUGGUUACUGGAAUAUUUAGAGAAAAAUCAAUAAGGAUAUAAAAAGUCUGGAAGAGCACUAUCAACCAAAUUGAAAUAACUGGCAUAUAUAGAAUACCCUACUCAACAAUAGAAAAAAAUACUCAAGUGCACAUAGAACAGUCACCAGGAUAGACCAUAUUUUGCCAAAAGUUUAAAAUAAUUUAAAUUAUACAUUGCAUGUUCUCUGACCACAAAUAAAUCUAAAAAUUCAACAACAGAAACAUAUUUGGAACAUUCCCAAAUAUGCUAAAAUUUUAAAAUGCACUUAUAAAUAACACAUAGGUUAAAGAAGAAAUUUAGUCAAAAUUAGCAAAUAUUUUGAAUUGAAUGAAAAUAGACGUGCAACAUAGCAAAAUUCUGCUACUAUUGGAGUACUGCUUGGAGAGAAGUUAUAAAAUGCUAUUUAGAAAAGACAGGUCUAAAAUCAGUUAUCCAAGCUUCCAACUUUGGAAUUUAAAACAUAAGGAAAAUUAAUUCCAAAUCCAACAGAAGAAAGGAAAUAAUAAAGUUAAGAGCAGAAAUCCAUGAAAUAGGAAAUAGGAAGUCAAUAGAGAAAAAUAAAUCAAAAGCUGAUUCUUUUAACAUGUCAGCAAAAUGGAUUAUUCCCCAAAACUGUAAGAAGACACAAAUUACCAUUAUCAGGAAUAAAAGUAGGAAAAGUAAUACAGAUGCUACAGAUAUUUAAAGGAUAAUAAGUGAAUAUUAAGUAUUUUUCUGCUCAUUAAUUCUAUAACAUGUAAAGUGUAAAAAUUUCUUGAAAGACACAAUUCCACAGUCCACUUACGAGGGAAUAGUUAACCUAACUAGUUCUAUAUCUGUUAAAGUAAUUCAAUUUGCAGUUAAAAAGCCUUCCCACAAAGAAAACCCACACUUUCAUGGUAUAUUCUACCAAACAUUUAAGGACAAUGUAACACCUAUUCCACUUAAACUCUUCCAGAAAUUAGAUGAGGAAGGAGAAUUUCCCGACUCAUUUGAUGAGACCAGAAUUCCUCUGAUAUAAAAAUUAGACAGGCAUGUUGGGGAAAGAAAACUGCAGACGAAUAUCCUCCCUCAAUAGAACUAAUCUUUUUAAACAAAAUAUCAGCAAAUCAAAUUCGGCAAUGCUCUCAGGGUGGGUUUUGGCUGGAGGUGAGCAUGCGCAGAUCCUGCAGUGUCCCCGAGCGCCCCCGCACCUGCCAGGCCUAGAGGCAGGAUUGAAGCCAGGAGGUGAGCAUGCGCAGAUCCUGCAGUGCCCCCGAGCGCCCCCGCGCCUGCCAGGCCUAGAGGCAGGAUUGAAGCCAGGAGACGGCUGAGCAGGACCUGAGGGCAUUAGCCUCUUCCAACAAGUGGUGGCCUCGGGCAGCAGUCACCUCCAUCUCCAGGACACCCCUGGACAUGGUGAAGGUCCGCCUGCGCUCUCAGUGCCCUGCUGUGACUGACACCUCGCUCCAGACCCUGGACCUCUCUUAAGCCAAAUCGCCCUCCUCCCUCCGAGCCACAGGGCGGGGCCUCCUGUGCUGCAGUGGUGUCCUGGAGCCCCCGCACCUGUCUCCAAAUGGUAUCCGCUGUGCCAUCAGGACCUGCUUCACUGGCACCAUGGGUGCCUUUGUGAAGAUUGUGAGGCACCAGGAAACCUGGGGACAGCCUCCUAGCUACCCUGGUGAUGACCCUGCUAGCCACCACCAUCUACUUCACUGGCUUACGACAAAACUCCAGGCCGUCCUGUGUGACAGAGCCCUGACCUCUGAUCUCUGCGCACCCUUGGUGGUCGGAGCUUGUGGGGACACAGCUGCAGGCUCAGCACGUGGCCUGCCAUGAGCUCGGCACCCGUGUCUGCCUGUGGUGGCUCAGGGCGGCUAGUGCUCCCUGUGGCAGGGUUGGCCUCCACUGCCCUUCAAGAUGUGCCCUUCUCAACCCUGCACUGGUCCAACUCUGAGCUGGAGAAGAGCUGGUUGAAUGCCAAAGGACUAGAGGUAAGCAGGCCUCAACUUUGUGGCUGCUGGAGUCUCAGGGAUGGUGACUGUGGUCCUGACACUACCCUUUGACGUGGUGAAGACUCAAUGGCAGGCUGCCCUGGGAGUGGUGGAGGCUGUGAUAGUGAUGUUCCGCCCAUCACACUGACUCCAUCAGGCGAGUGGGGCACCAGGGGACUCUGCAGACCUCCUCCUGAGGAUCUUCUAGGUUGCCCUGUCCUGUGCCAUCAUGAUCAGCCUUUAUGGGUUCAGCAAAAGCUGCCUCCAGAGGCUCAACCAGGAAUGGCCUCUGGGCCAUGGAAAGAGACGAGGAGAGGCGGACCCCAUCUCUUCAUAGAUGAAAGCAACAUCAUUUCAAGAACUUGAACUGAUAAAAAUAAUAAACAUGAAGUCCAGGAGUAGGGUUGGCUGUAAAUAUGUUGCAGUAAGACUUUCAGGAACCUAAGGCUGUUGCAGUUCCAGGCAUCACAGCCUGCACAGAAUCUCCAGAGGAGAAAGGGGAUCAUGUUUUCUUUUGUCUUUUUUCUUUAAAGAAAGAAAUGAUUUCCUAGAAGUCUGCUGCAGACUUCCUCUGUGUCUCAUUGAGUAUCAUAAAGUUACUUUCAGCAAGUCAGACUUGAAUUGGCGUAUCUUUUAAGGAAGAGGAUAAUGAACGAAAGUGGGAGAAUGACUCUUCUUCUCCUGGCCCGUAAGUUUCUAGUAUAUAAUACAAUUCCUUAUUCCUUUCUCAGUGUUUCAAUGUGUUUUGCUUAAAUGUUAUAAGUAAUAAAGGCAAUUAGCUAUUUUAUAAUUUGUGUAAAUAUGCCUCUGUUAUUAGAUGAUUUGAUUAUAAUUUUUACAAUAAAUAUAAUAUGGGGAAGAACAUCAUUAUAUAUGAAUUUUGGAACAUUGCUGAUAUUUUUAUUGGGAAGAAGUACAGAAUUAUUAUUGUUUGGCCAAAGAGUUUGUACCUUUUUUGUGGUUUUAAGUAAAAUUGUUAAAUUGCUCUAUAGAACACUGCAUUAGACAACUAUGGCAAGCUAUUUUAUCACUCUUUGCCAAUGUUAGAUAACGUUUGAUAAUUUGGAUAACUGAUUAUUUUUACUUUAUUCUUUUCAGUUAUUUUCUUUUGAUGUUUACUGAGGCUGUUAUUCCUAUAACCUAUAUAAAAAUCUUUUGCCCAUUUGAUUGUAUUUUAUUGCUUAGUAUGAGUUUCUUAUAUAUUAAGCUUAUAAAUUCUUCCUUGGACAUCUUGCCUUUUUUUUUUUUUUUCUUUAGCAACUUGCCUUUAAAGGUCAUUUGCUUUUAUUGAGUGAACAAAUGUUUGACAUUUAAGUGGACUGAAAUUAUCUUUAUUCAUUUGAAAUUCAUUUUAGGAUGAGAUGGAAAAAGUUAAAGCACAUACAUGUGUAUACAUAUAUAGGCAGAAUUAUUUCUUUCUAUAUAUAUUUCAAUUCAGCGUUCACCUGCCAGAGUACUGUUUAGAUGAUUCACUAUUCUUUCAUCACUGAUUUUAAUGUUAUAUUUAUCAUACAGUAAAAAAUUAAUAUUUAAAUAAUUUGUGA